UACGUAGGGGGCAAGCGUUGUCCGGAAUCAUUGGGCGUAAAGCGCGUGUAGGCGGCCCGAUAAGUCCGCUGUGAAAGUCCAGGGCUCAACCCUGGGAUGCCGGUGGAUACUGUCGGGCUCGAGUCCGGAAGAGGCGAGUGGAAUUCCUGGUGUAGCGGUGAAAUGCGCAGAUAUCAGGAGGAACACCAAUGGCGAAGGCAGCUCGCUGGGACGUGACUGACGCUGAGGCGCGAAAGCGUGGGGAGCGAACAGG
rnacentral:rRNA from 1 species